AUGCACGCUGGCGGCGUGCCUCAUCCCUGCAAGUCGCGCGAACGGACGAGAAGCUUGCUUCUCUGAUGUUAGCGGCGGACGGGUGAGUAACACGUGGAUAACCUACCUAUAAGACUGGGGUAACUUCGGGAAACCGGAGCUAAUACCGGAUGAUAUUUUGAACCGCAUGGUUCAAAAGUGAAAGACGGUCUUGCUGUCACUUAUAGAUGGAUCCGCGCUGCAUUAGCUAGUUGGUAAGGUAACGGCUUACCAAGGCAACGAUGCAUAGCCGACCUGAGAGGGUGAUCGGCCACACUGGAACUGAGACACGGUCCAGACUCCUACGGGAGGCAGCAGUAGGGAAUCUUCCGCAAUGGGCGAAAGCCUGACGGAGCAACGCCGCGUGAGUGAUGAAGGUCUUCGGAUCGUAAAACUCUGUUAUUAGGGAAGAACAUAUGUGUAAGUAACUGUGCACAUCUUGACGGUACCUAAUCAGAAAGCCACGGCUAACUACGUG
rnacentral:rRNA from 1 species